rnacentral:rRNA from 1 species
GUGCAGCAGGCGCGAAAACUUUACAAUGCGGGAAACCGUGAUAAGGGAACACCGAGUGCCAGCAUCAUAUGCUGGCUGUCCAGAUGUGUAAACUACAUCUGUUAGCAAGGGCCGGGCAAGACCGGUGCCAGCCGCCGCGGUAACACCGGCGGCCCGAGUGGUGACCGUUAUUAUUGGGUCUAAAGGGUCCGUAGCCGGUUUGGUCAGUCCUCCGGGAAAUCUGAUAGCUUAACUGUUAGGCUUUCGGGGGAUACUGCCAGGCUUGGAACCGGGAGAGGUAAGAGGUACUACAGGGGUAGGAGUGAAAUCUUGUAAUCCCUGUGAGACCACCUGUGGCGAAGGCGUCUUACCAGAACGGGUUCGACGGUGAGGGACGAAAGCUGGGGGCACGAACCGGAUUAGAUACCCGGGUAGUCC